rnacentral:rRNA from 1 species
UGGGGAAUAUUGCACAAUGGGCGCAAGCCUGAUGCAGCCAUGCCGCGUGUGUGAAGAAGGCCUUCGGGUUGUAAAGCACUUUCAGUCGUGAGGAAGGUAGUGUAGUUAAUAGCUGCAUUAUUUGACGUUAGCGACAGAAGAAGCACCGGCUAACUCCGUGCCAGCAGCCGCGGUAAUACGGAGGGUGCGAGCGUUAAUCGGAAUUGACUGGGCGUAAAGUCGCAUGCAGGUGGUUUGUUAAAGUCGAGAUGUGAAAGCCCGGGGCUCAACCUCGGAAUAGCAUUUGAAACUGGCAGGACUAGAGUACUGUAGAGGGGGGUAGAAGUUUCAGGUGUAGCGGUGAAAGUGCGUAGACGAUCUGAAGGAAUACCGGUGGCGAAGGCGGCCCCCCUGGACAGAUAGCUGACACUCAGAUGCGAAAAGCGUGGGGAGCAAAACAGGAUUAGAUA